GGACGAUGACACCAGCGAUUAAUCGGCGUUAAUUUAUGACCCGAUUAGCAGCUUCCGGGAAACCAAAGUUUUUCGUUUCCGGGGGAAGUAUGGUUGCAAAGCUGAAACUUAAAGGAAUUGACGGAAGGGCACCACCAGGAGUGGAGCCUGCGGCUUAAUUUGACUCAACACGGGAAAACUCACCCGGCCCGGACACCGUAAGGAUUGACAGACUGAGAGCUCUUUCUUAAUUCGGUGGGUGGUGGUGCAUGGCCGUUCUUAGUUGGUGGAGCGAUUUGUCUGGUUAAUUCCGAUAACGAACGAGACUCUGGCCUAUUAAAUAGACGAUAUAUUUAAAAGUAUAUCGCGCUUCUUAGAGGGACAAGCGGCGUCUAGCCGCAUGAAAUAGAGCAAUAACAGGUCUGUGAUGCCCUUAGAUGUCCGGGGCUGCACGCGCGCUACACUGAAAGAAUCAGAGUGCGUUUUGCCUAGUUCGGAAGAACCGGGUAACCCAAGUAAAUUCUUUCGUGCUUGGGAUAGGGAAUUGCAAUUAUUUCCCUUAAACGAGGAAUUCCCAGUAAAUGCGGGUCAUAAGCUCGCGUUGAUUACGUCCCUGCCCUUUGUACACACCGCCCGUCGCUACUACCGAUUGGAUGACUUAGUGAGGUCUUAGGACCGAGGUAAAGGUGCACGAAAGUGUGCUUUUUCUUUGGAAAUUUGAUCGAACUACGUUAUCUAGAGGAAGUAAAAGUCGUAACAAGGUUUCCGUAGUGAACCUGCGGAAGGAUCA
rnacentral:rRNA from 1 species